AGACACACUUCACUGCUACAGCCAAGCCUGUGUACCUCAGGCCAUCAUGAGUGGAAAGGGCUCAGUAUGUGAAACACCACAGCAUGCACCACAUGGAGAAAGCCAGUAUGAGGACCCAGAGCCCAGUGCAUUAGCUAAAUGCUCUGUGAAACCCACAUGGAAGGUUAAAGAGAACUAUGAAUCGAUGAAAACUGAGCUAGCAACCAGUUUGAAGCAGAUUUGGGAUAAAAUCCUCACCUACAUUGAUGUGAUUUCAUGUCCCAGCCAUGAGGUACUGCAACUAGAAG